UGGUGAAUUUUGGACAAUGGGCGAAAGCCUGAUCCAGCAAUGCCGCGUGUGUGAAGAAGGCCUUCGGGUUGUAAAGCACUUUUGUCCGGAAAGAAAUCCUUGGCUCUAAUACAGUCGGGGGAUGACGGUACCGGAAGAAUAAGCACCGGCUAACUACGUGCCAGCAGCCGCGGUAAUACGUAGGGUGCAAGCGUUAAUCGGAAUUACUGGGCGUAAAGCGUGCGCAGGCGGUUUGCUAAGACCGAUGUGAAAAUCCCCGGGGCUCAACCUGGGAACUGCAUUGGUGACUGGCAGGCUAGAGUAUGGCAGAGGGGGGUAGAAUUCCACGUGUAGCAGUGAAAUGCGUAGAGAUGUGGAGGAAUACCGAUGGCGAAUGCAGCCCCCUGGGCCAAUACUGACGCUCAUGCACGAAAGCGUGGGGAGCAAACAGGAUUAGAUACCCUGGUAGUCCACGCCCUAAACGAUGUCAACUAGUUGUUGGGGAUUCAUUUCCUUAGUAACGUAGCUAACGCGUGAAGUUGACCGCCUGGGGAGUAUGGUCGCAAGAUUAAAACUUAAAUGAAUUGACGGGGUCAUAGCUGUUU
rnacentral:rRNA from 1 species